UACGUAGGGGGCAAGCGUUGUCCGGAUUUAUUGGGCGUAAAGAGCGUGUAGGCGGCCUUACAGGUCAGCUGUGAAAACUCGAGGCUCAACCUCGAGACGUCGGUUGAAACCGUAAGGCCAGAGUCCGGAAGAGGAGAGUGGAAUUCCCGGUGUAGCGGUGAAAUGCGCAGAUAUCGGGAAGAACACCCGUGGCGAAGGCGGCUCUCUGGGACGGUACUGACGCUGAGACGCGAAAGCGUGGGGAGCGAACAGG
rnacentral:rRNA from 1 species